UACGUAGGGUGCGAGCGUUAAUCGGAAUUACUGGGCGUAAAGCGUGCGCAGGCGGUUCGUCGUGUCGGUGGUGAAAGCCCCGGGCUUAACCUGGGAAUGGCCAUGGAAACUGGCGAACUGGAGUGUGGCAGAGGGGGGUGGAAUUCCGCGUGUAGCAGUGAAAUGCGUAGAGAUGCGGAGGAACACCGAUGGCGAAGGCAGCCCCGUGGGCUAGCACUGACGCUCAGGCACGAAAGCGUGGGGAGCAAACAGG
rnacentral:rRNA from 1 species